AGUGGCGGACGGGUGAGUAACGCGUGAGAAUCUGCCCUUUGGACGGGGAUAACGACUGGAAACGGUCGCUAAUACCCAAUAUGCCGAGAGGUGAAACUUAUAUGGCCAGAGGAUGAGCUCGCGUCUGAUUAGCUAGUUGGAGUGGUAACGGCACACCAAGGCGACGAUCAGUAGCUGGUCUGAGAGGAUGAUCAGCCACACUGGGACUGAGACACGGCCCAGACUCCUACGGGAGGCAGCAGUGGGGAAUUUUCCGCAAUGGGCGAAAGCCUGACGGAGCAAGACCGCGUGAGGGAGGAAGGCCUACUGGUUGUAAACCUCUUUUGAUAGGGAAGAAGAAAGUGACGGUACCUAUCGAAUCAGCAUCGGCUAACUCCGUGCCAGCAGCCGCGGUAAUACGGAGGAUGCAAGCGUUAUCCGGAAUUAUUGGGCGUAAAGCGUCCGUAGGUGGUUAUUCAAGUCAGCUGUCAAAGGAUGGAGCUUAACUCCAUAAAGGCAGUUGAAACUGUGUAGCUAGAGUGCGAUAGGGGCAAGGGGAAUUCCCAGUGUAGCGGUGAAAUGCGUAGAUAUUGGGAAGAACAUCGGUGGCGAAAGCGCCUUGCUGGGUCUGCACUGACACUGAGGGACGAAAGCUAGGGGAGCGAAAGGGAUUAGAUACCCCUGUAGUCUUAGCUGUAAACGAUGGAUACUAGGCGUUG
rnacentral:rRNA from 1 species